GACGAACGCUGCGGCGUGCUUAACACAUGCAAGUCGAACGAAGAGCGAUGGAAGCUUGCUUCUAUCAAUCUUAGUGGCGAACGGGUGAGUAACGCGUAAUCAACCUGCCCUUCAGAGGGGGACAACAGUUGGAAACGACUGCUAAUACCGCAUACGAUCUAAUCUCGGCAUCGAGGAUAGAUGAAAGGUGGCCUCUACAUGUAAGCUAUCACUGAAGGAGGGGAUUGCGUCUGAUUAGCUAGUUGGAGGGGUAACGGCCCACCAAGGCGAUGAUCAGUAGCCGGUCUGAGAGGAUGAACGGCCACAUUGGGACUGAGACACGGCCCAGACUCCUACGGGAGGCAGCAGUGGGGAAUCUUCCGCAAUGGACGAAAGUCUGACGGAGCAACGCCGCGUGAGUGAUGACGGCCGUCGGGUUGUAAAGCUCUGUUAAUCGGGACGAAAGGCCUUCUUGCGAAUAGUGAGAAGGAUUGACGGUACCGGAAUAGAAAGCCACGGCUAACUACGUG
rnacentral:rRNA from 1 species